rnacentral:rRNA from 1 species
AUUGAACGCUGGCGGCAUGCCUUACACAUGCAAGUCGAACGCCCCGCAAGGGGAGUGGCAGACGGGUGAGUAACGCGUGGGAACAUACCCUUUUCUACGGAAUAGCUCUGGGAAACUGGAAUUAAUACCGUAUACGCCCUACGGGGGAAAGAUUUAUCGGGGAAGGAUUGGCCCGCGUUGGAUUAGCUAGUUGGUGGGGUAAAGGCCUACCAAGGCGACGAUCCAUAGCUGGUCUGAGAGGAUGAUCAGCCACAUUGGGACUGAGACACGGCCCAAACUCCUACGGGAGGCAGCAGUGGGGGAUAUUGGACAAUGGGCGCAAGCCUGAUCCAGCCAUGCCGCGUGAGUGAUGAAGGCCUUAGGGUUGUAAAGCUCUUUCACCGAUGAAGAUAAUGACGGUAGUCGGAGAAGAAGCCCCGGCUAACUUCGUGCCAGCCGCCGCAGUAAAAC